rnacentral:lncRNA from 1 species
UACGUACCUGGAUCUGUGGGCGGGGGGAAUAUCAUGGGGCAGGCACUGGGGGGCACAAUAUCCCAAAUAGCCGUAUUUGCAUCACAACCCUUGGAUGAGGUGAUUGCCCAACGUCGCCCAUCAUCAUCCCGGCAGGUUAAGUCCAGGAUGCCAUCCCCGUCACAGUCUGCACUCUGCAGGACUGCGGUGUCGUGGAUGCACCACCCGGAUGGCCUGGUGCAUGAAGCUGCGGCAAAAAAAGCAGCAACGAUGGUAAUUGAUCAAUGCCAGAAGCAGAUCGGGCAGGUGGCCUAGCUAGGAAAGGCCACAUGAAGGGUGGAGGCCAGACCAGCUGGAAAUGAAAGGCCAGGCAGUGUAACUACGAUUUCUAGACGCGUCGAACAGAUCAACGCCACAAAGAGACUCAGGGCUUGCUUUCCAGCAGCCGUAGGAUAACCGUACAUGCAUGCAUGCAUGCCACCGAUACAUUCGUGAUUGAGCAUAGCUAUGCGCUUGCAUGAAUGUUUUGUGCGAUUGGGCAUAUGUAUACAGUUGCCAAAUGUGAUGCCUGAGGGGCUUCAGGUAAGUUGCACACACUGCUGCAAUUCACUGCUCCGAAGCAAGUGGGGUUGAACAAGGAUAUGCUAUGAUAAUUCCGAGGGGCUAUGCCGGCUUGCGGGAAUUCCCUCGAACCAUCUCAAUUUCAUCACAUACAACGGCUGGGUUAUUACUACGUACCUGGAUCUGUGGGUGGCGAGAAUAUCUUGGGGCAGGCACUGGGGGGCACAAUAUCCCAAAUAGCCGCAUUUGCAUCACAGCCCGUGGAUGAGGUGAUUGCCCAACGUCGCCCAUCAUCAUCCCGGCAGGUUAAGUCCAGGAUGCCAUCCCCGUCACAGUCUGCACUCUGCAGGACUGAGCUGUUGUGGAUGCACCACCCGGAUGGCCUGGUGCAUGAAGCUGGAGCUGCGGCAAAAGCCAGCAACGAUACAAGGUACAAGUUCUGCACACAUGUGCGGGUCUGUCUGUAAAAGCCGGGGGGGCCAUGGACGUUAUAUUUGUAAUGAUGCGGGUACAGGGGAGGCCAUUAUCAUCCUCUCUCGUUCGAUUCACAGUGAAACGCCUCAACUCGACGUGUCUGGUCUGGUAGAUUUCCGAGAUGUACCUGG